rnacentral:rRNA from 1 species
GGCUUAGAGUUUGAUCAUGGCUCAGGAUGAACGCUGGCGGCGUGCCUAACACAUGCAAGUCGAGCGAAGCACUUGCUUUUGAUUCUUCGGAUGAAGAAGCUUGUGACUGAGCGGCGGACGGGUGAGUAACACGUAGGUAACCUGCCUCACACAGGGGGAUAACAGUUAGAAAUGACUGCUAAUACCGCAUAGCGCACAGGGCUGCAUGGCCUGGUGUGAAAAGCUCCGGCGGUGUGAGAUGGACCUGCGUCUGAUUAGCCAGUUGGCGGGGUAACGGCCCACCAAAGCGACGAUCAGUAGCCGGCCUGAGAGGGUGGACGGCCACAUUGGGACUGAGACACGGCCCAGACUCCUACGGGAGGCAGCAGUGGGGAAUAUUGCACAAUGGGGGAAACCCUGAUGCAGCGACGCCGCGUGAGCGAAGAAGUAUCUCGGUAUGUAAAGCUCUAUCAGCAGGGAAGAAAAUGACGGUACCUGACUAAGAAGCACCGGCUAAAUACGUGCCAGCAGCCGCGGUAAUACGUAUGGUGCAAGCGUUAUCCGGAUUUACUGGGUGUAAAGGGAGCGUAGACGGAGAAGCAAGUCUGGAGUGAAAGCCCGGGGCUCAACCCCGGGACUGCUUUGGAAACUGUUUGUCUAGAGUGCCGGAGAGGUAAGCG